GACAGUGUGACAUAAUGGAUAGGGAGCUAGUCUUGUAAAUCAGAGGUUGCAGGUUUGAUUCCCUGCUAAACACUGUCA